CAAAACUCUAUUUAAGUGUUUAUAUCCAAAGUAAAACUUCACGACCCGCCCACAUGACGCAGCACGCAUGCAGAGCAACGACACCGUUGCUCAUACCUGUACCGGACCAGUUUCGACGUUCUGUGGAGUUUUUGAGGGCUUUAUACAACGUGCAACACAUAGAGAUGUCAGAAGCAUAAAUGACAUGAUGGCUAGGACAUAUAGCUGGGGGAGAAUGGAAGUGGUUGUCCAGAGCCCAGAUGUGCAAAAAUUAAAGAAAGAUGGCCUGCCCAGAUAAAUGAAGAAUUCCAAAGGUGUACUGGUGUUCCACAAGAAUCGGUUUUUAUGUCCCAGCUGGACAAAUACACUCCAAAACUUCUUGACCUGUUUAGUGCGAAGGGUGCAGCGACUGGUGAAAACAUCAAUUGGAGUUAUUGGAACUGAUACAGGGAAAAACAGAGAGCAGUGUCUAUGAAGACUUGAAAAUGCGCAAUAUGCAGAUAUAUGUCUGCCGUGUUCCAGAUGUGGUGGGCAUCAUCAUUGAGGGCAUCCCUGUGCUUACUCGUCUUGGAAACCACGCCAGGGCUAUGAACUUGCAGUAUCCACCACAACUCAGCAAAACAUUUUAGGUGUUUCAAAGACAUUUUGUGGGACUUGACACACUGCGUCCAAAGUCUUCCUCCUGAUUCAUGACACAAAAACUUCUGAGUUAGUUAAUUAGUUGCCGCUCAGAGGUUCUGUUUCUUUGCUUCAUCACUUUUGUUCAAUGGACAGUUUGACUUGGAACAAUGUGGUAGUCACGCACCGACUUCUUCAGUUUCUGGAUAAGUCUGCAGCAAAUAUGGGCAUUUGAUUUGCUUUUGUAUAUAUGGGGCAAAGUUUGUUUUGUUAUGUCAAAUGCUGAGAUCAGAGGCACUUUAUUUUUUUUAUUUCAAUGUUGUAGUACAUUUGAAAAUGUACUGUACUGUGUACACAACAGGCAUCAGUUGGACACCUCAAACCCCCAUGAGGAUCCACACACACACACACACACACACACACGCUCAGUUUUAAUGGGUAAAGUUU